AUUGAACGCUGGCGGCAUGCCUUACACAUGCAAGUCGAACGGCAGCACGGACUUCGGUCUGGUGGCGAGUGGCGAACGGGUGAGUAAUGUAUCGGAACGUACCUUUCAGUGGGGAUAACGUAGCGAAAGUUACGCUAAUACCGCAUAUUCUGUGAGCAGGAAAGCAGGGGAUCGCAAAGACCUUGCGCUGAUUGAGCGGCCGAUAUCAGAUUAGCUAGUUGGUGAGGUAAAGGCUCACCAAGGCGACGAUCUGUAGCGGGUCUGAGAGGAUGAUCCGCCACACUGGAACUGAGACACGGUCCAGACUCCUACGGGAGGCAGCAGUGGGGAAUUUUGGACAAUGGGGGCAACCCUGAUCCAGCCAUGCCGCGUGAGUGAAGAAGGCCUUCGGGUUGUUAAAGGC
rnacentral:rRNA from 1 species